rnacentral:rRNA from 1 species
AUUGAACGCUGGCGGCAUGCCUAACACAUGCAAGUCGAACGGCAGCACGGUCUAGCUUGCUAGAUGGGUGGCGAGUGGCGAACGGGUGAGUAACGCGUAGGAAUAUGCCUUGAAGUGGGGGACAACUUGGGGAAACUCAAGCUAAUACCGCAUAAUUUCUUAGGAAAAAAGCUGGGGACCUUAGGGCCUGGCGCUUCAAGAUUAGCCUGCGUACGAUUAGCUAGUUGGUAGGGUAAGAGCCUACCAAGGCGACGAUCGUUAGCUGGUCUGAAAGGAUGGCCAGCCACACUGGAACUGAGACACGGUCCAGACUCCUACGGGAGGCAGCAGUGGGGAAUAUUGGACAAUGGGGGCAACCCUGAUCCAGCAAUGCCGCGUGUGUGAAGAAGGCCUGAGGGUUGUAAAGCACUUUCAGUGGGGAGGAGGAUUGCCAGGUUAAGAGCUAGGUAAUUGGACGUUACCCACAGAAGAAGCACCGGCUAACUCCGUGCCAGCCGCCGCCGUAA